rnacentral:rRNA from 1 species
UGACCAGCCACACUGGAACUGAGACACGGCCCAAACUCCUACGGGAGGCAGCAGUGGGGAAUCUUGCGCAAUGGGCGAAAGCCUGACGCAGCCAUGCCGCGUGAAUGAUGAAGGUCUUAGGAUUGUAAAUUCUUUCACCGGGGACGAUAAUGACGGUACCCGGAGAAGAAGCCCCCGGCUAACUUCGUGCCAGCAKCCGCGGUAAUACGAAGGGGGGCUAGCGUUG